CCUCCUGCCCGCUGACGUCAAACAGCCGGGAGCAGUACUCAGGCCACGUGACAAGGCUCGUCGCCAUAGCAACCAGCUAACUCAUCAUAUCUCCUCAAUUCGCACAGGGCUCGAGCAUGACCACACCAAUGCAGCCAAACAGGCACAAGAGGCAGGCCUAACAUCUGGCACGUAAAAACACGCGCCUAUCAGCCAGGCUCCUUUGGUCUCCAGUGGCCCUGCAUACCAAUGGUUCUCAGUUGAUUAGCAUAAGAUGGUAACAGAUCUGGAAUCACAAGGUGACAUGGAUUAUAGCACCUUUGGACAAAACAGCUCUUCUCAGGUGAGUAGUAGUAGUAGUGAGUGGUAGAAGAAACAGCUCGUGUAAUUCAACCACAGAGCCCAAUAAGCGUGCAAAGCAAGUAUCAAAGCAAGCUUCGAUUUGUCAUUACUUGCCAACUUUGGAUACUGUGAGUUCUUUGGAUUCAGGCUCUCUAUCUACUAACUUGCUGGUGCAGAGUCAGAUGCAAAUCCCAGGUGCACCAGAGCAAGACCUUAUACAGCUUAGGCAUACCAUGGAGAGAAAUGGAGCCUCCCAAAAGCUGUUAUGCUUAGGGAACGGCUUACUAACUUUCAACAGAGCAGCCUACAUCUAGUGCUAGAGGGAGGGAAUGGAGAUCAAGCAACUUCCCCAAACUCGCAGAACUCUAACAACAAUGAGGGGAUGGGUAAACUAUCAGCCCCAAAAACUAAGAUAACCAAAAAGCCUCAGCAGACUACAGACCUUUCAUCUUGUCGGCUGGUAGCUGAAACGCUUAAAGCUGUGUUUGAUAGACUCUCAUUACUAGAGAGGAAAUUGGACAUUGUUAAGACUCUUCUGCAUGAUCUGUCUAAAGGGCAGAUCAAGAGGGGGAGGACUGAUAAUGAUAACAGUGGGGAGAAGCAGCGUGGCUGUGGCUGUGGCACUUAUCAGACCUACCACAACUCCCAUGUGAUUCCAGGAGGAAGAAGCACAGUUAAUCGAAUAUUAUAACCACACCAUAUUUCUUUUGUAGUAUUUUUCUUGUAGGGUAAACUACAAGAAGUGUACAAUUUCUAUGCCAUUAGAUACCCGCUAAGUCAGCUCUUGGAUUGUAGUCUGAGAGAUGUAGACUUCAAACGAUUUGAGAGGCUACCAUCUAACCAUUUCCAAAGUAGAUUUAUGUUGGAUUUUUAUUCUUCCUGGAUCCCGAAUAGGAUUUUCCAAAGAAAAUCCUUGAUUGAAGGUUUUGAGAUAUUCCCUAAUCGCUGUUUUGCCAACACCAUCUUGGA